AAGAUAAGUUUGGCGAACGAAUCGAGGCCGCCGCGUUUCGCUCUUGCCGGAGACUGUGAAAAGCUCCCAUAUACGCCUGUUGUCGCCGUCGAUUUCUGGGAUUACGAAUUGCUGUGGGUUGUGCCAGGAGGAUCAAUUGUCGGGAUAUUUCGGCCGUAGUGUUACAUGAAUUUGAAUUAAUAAAGUGACCGUACUAGGGAUUAGUGCUUGAUCAAAGAAGACCAUCAAAUUCGGUUCCGGAGUGAAAAAAUCGAAUAAGUUAAAAUCCUACGUGGAACUUUGGCCAGCAGUGCCCUUGUGUUGAGUGAGUGCGCGAGAGAAAACGGGCCACUUCUGUAAAAUUGUCGACGUCACUUAAUCUAAAUAUGACCACCUCUUUGGGGAAAAAAGCAUCGGUGCGAAAAAUUGUGAAAAAUUCCGACCGCGUCAAGUGAAAAUCUAAUCGUGGUCGUGUUCAAAAUCUAUUCGUAUAUCGUCUCGAUUCUCCUGUUUCUGGUGCAUCCAGCAGCCAACGUACACUGUGCAGCAAUAAUGCAAGGGAAAAGUGCAAUUCAAUGACUCACAUUGCAACGAUGCACAUCGAGCUGGCCUCGAUCACCGAACGAGUCAUUGGAAAUAAAUUACCAUCACUGCGCGUUGCGAAUACCUAUGGCAAAUAAAGGUUCUGUUCAUUCAUCAGUGCCCGGGUGUGAUUUACUACGAGUUGGGGUGAAAUAUUUUACCGAUGAUUAAUCGUGAAUUUUCGAUAUGGUCGUGAUUGGAUCGGGUUAGAAAAGAAAUCAAUAUUCGUGCCUUCGUAGGAGGUCGAAGCUUAGUGAUUAAAAUAGUUCAAUUCGUUGGAUAAGAGUACAAAGAAUAAGCACUCAAAAGAAGAAACCAAGUGUUAUGAAAUUUUUAUGUGUUUUUUCGUCCACUAAAGAGCAGCUCAGCGUAAAAGAAGUGCUAUGUUUUGUUUUCGAACAAAUGAUCACCGUAUUGGCGAUUGAGUGUAUUAGUGUACAUGGGGCUUCCAAGGUACGUGCAGUGAGUAAAUAACUUCCAGCAGUCAGUGCUUCAGACGGUGGUUCAGUGUAAUCGAAACAAAUUGAAUGGUGAUUGAUGUGCGAACGAGAAUUACUAUACAGCUGCUCAAUCAACAGAGUCAAGCCAAAGGGGG